GACGAACGCUGGCGGCGUGCCUAAUACAUGCAAGUUGAACGCAACAAAGACACCAGAGCUUGCUCUACCGUCUUUGUUGAGUAGCGAACGGGUGAGUAACGCGUGGGUAACCUGCCUUAUAGCGGGGGAUAACUAUUGGAAACGAUAGCUAAUACCGCAUAACAAUAGAGAUUGCAUAAUCUUUAUUUGAAAGUGCCAACUGGUACACUAUGAGAUGGACCCGCGUUGUAUUAGCUAGUUGGUAGUGUAAUGGACUACCAAGGCGAUGACACAUAGCCGACUGAGAGGGUGAUCGGCCACAUUGGGACUGAGACAGGGCCCAAAUCCUACGGGAGGCAGCAGUAGGGAAUCUUC
rnacentral:rRNA from 1 species